GACGAACGCUGGCGGCGUGCCUAAUACAUGCAAGUAGAACGCUGAAGAGAGGAGCUUGCUCUUCUUGGAUGAGUUGCGCACGGGUGAGUAACGCGUAGGUAACCUGCCUUGUAGCGGGGGAUAACUAUUGGAAACGAUAGCUAAUACCGCAUAACAAUAGGUGACACAUGUCAUUUAUUUGAAAGGGGCAAUUGCUCCACUACAAGAUGGACCUGCGUUGUAUUAGCUAGUAGGUGAGGUAACGGCUCACCUAGGCGACGAUACAUAGCCGACCUGAGAGGGUGAUCGGCCACACUGGGACUGAGACACGGCCCAGACUCCUACGGGAGGCAGCAGUAGGGAAUCUUCGGCAAUGGGGGCAACCCUGACCGAGCAACGCCGCGUGAGUGAAGAAGGUUGUCGGAUCGUAAAGCUCGGUUGUAAGUCAAGAACGAGUGUGAGAGUGGAAAGUUCACACUGUGACGGUAGCUUACCAGAAAGGGACGGCUAACUACGUG
rnacentral:rRNA from 1 species